GAGUUUGAUUCUGGCUCAGGAUGAACGCUGGCGGCGUGCCUAAUACAUGCAAGUCGAGCGAGAAUCUGAACGACGGAGACUUCGGUCAAAGGAAUUCAGAGGAAAGCGGCGGACGGGUGAGUAACGCGUGGGCAACCUGCCCCAUACAGAGGGAUAGCAGUUGGAAACGACUAUUAAUACCUCAUACUCCGGUUUUAUCGCAUGAUAGAACCGGGAAAGAUUUAUCGGUAUGGGAUGGGCCCGCGUCUGAUUAGCUAGUUGGUGAGGUAACGGCUCACCAAGGCGACGAUCAGUAGCCAACCUUAGAGGGUGAUUGGCCACACUGGAACUGAGACACGGUCCAGACUCCUACGGGAGGCAGCAGUAGGGAAUAUUGGGCAAUGGGGGCAACCCUGACCCAGCAACGCCGCGUGAACGAUGAAAAUCUUCGGAUUGUAAAGUUCUUUUCUUGAGGAAGAAGAAAGUGACG
rnacentral:rRNA from 1 species